AGACGAACGCUGGCGGCGUGCUUAACACAUGCAAGUCGAACGAUGAACCACUUCGGUGGGGAUUAGUGGCGAACGGGUGAGUAACACGUGGGCAAUCUGCCCUUCACUCUGGGACAAGCCCUGGAAACGGGGUCUAAUACCGGAUACGACUACUGAGGGCAUCCUUGNGUGGUGGAAAGCUCCGGCGGUGAAGGAUGAGCCCGCGGCCUAUCAGCUUGUUGGUGAGGUAACGGCUCACCAAGGCGACGACGGGUAGCCGGCCUGAGAGGGCGACCGGCCACACUGGGAUUGAGACACGGCCCAGACUCCUACGGGAGGCAGCAGUGGGGAAUAUUGCACAAUGGGCGAAAGCCUGAUGCAGCGACGCCGCGUGAGGGAUGACGGCCUUCGGGUUGUAAACCUCUUUCAGCAGGGAAGAAGCGAAAGUGACGGUACCUGCAGAAGAAGCGCCGGCUAACUACGUGCCAGCAGCCGCGGGUAAUACGUUAGGGCGCAAGCGUUUGUCCGGAAUUAUUUGGGGCGUUAAGAGCUCGUANGCGGCUUGUCACGUCNAUUGUNAAAACCCCAAGGCUUAACCUCGGGGUCUUGCAGUCCNAUACGGGCUAACUUAAAGUGUUGGUUAGGGGAAAAUCGGAAUUCCUGGGUUUUACCGGUNAAAUNC
rnacentral:rRNA from 1 species